CAUCCUCAAAACCUUCUUGGUUUCUUGACCAGGAAGGCUUUGGACUUUGGAGGCUUUUGCUGGCGUUCCUUCGUUGGAGCCAGCUCCUCUGAAAUGAAUUAGUGGGGUCUGCUUUGCUGAUCCUUGACGUGAUAAGAUGUUUUCUACGUCUUGGGUUUCGCAACGUUCCCGCUUCUAACCGUCUCAUAGAAGACAACGGUCAAGUGAUCGCCACUUGACCCACAAA
rnacentral:misc_RNA from 1 species